UACGUAGGGUGCGAGCGUUUAAUCGGAAUUACUGGGCGUAAAGCGUGCGCAGGCGGUUCGUUGUGUCGGCGGUGAAAGCCCCGGGCUCAACCUGGGAAUGGCCGUUGAAACUGGCGAACUGGAGUGUGGCAGAGGGGGGUGGAAUUCCGCGUGUAGCAGUGAAAUGCGUAGCGAUGCGGAGGAACACCGAUGGCGAAGGCAGCCCCCUGGGCUGACACUGACGCUCAGGCACGAAAGCGUGGGGAGCAAACAGG
rnacentral:rRNA from 1 species